rnacentral:rRNA from 1 species
UGAACGCUGGCGGUAUGCUUUACACAUGCAAGUCGUACGAGAGUUUUUAACUCAAGUGGCGGACGGGUGAGUAACACGUGAGAAUCUACCUUUAGGAGGGGGAUAACAACUGGAAACGGUUGCUAAUACCCCAUAUGCUUUCGAGUGAAAUGAAUUUAUUCGCCUAGAGAGGAGCUCGCGGCUGAUUAGCUUGUUGGUAGGGUAAAGGCCUACCAAGGCGACGAUCAGUAUCUGGUUUGAGAGGACGAUCAGACACACUGGAACUGAGACACGGUCCAGACUCCUACGGGAGGCAGCAGUGGGGAAUUUUCCGCAAUGGGCGAAAGCCUGACGGAGCAAUACCGCGUGAGGGAAGACGGCCUAUGGGUUGUAAACCUCUUUUUUCAGGGAGGAAUCAAUGACGUUACCUGAAGAAUAAGCAUCGGCUAACUCC